rnacentral:rRNA from 1 species
AUUGAACGCUGGCGGCAGGCUUAACACAUGCAAGUCGAGCGGAGAUGAGGUGCUUGCACCUUAUCUUAGCGGCGGACGGGUGAGUAAUGCUUAGGAAUCUGCCUAUUAGUGGGGGACAACAUUCCGAAAGGAAUGCUAAUACCGCAUACGUCCUACGGGAGAAAGCAGGGGAUCUUCGGACCCUGCGCUAAUAGAUGAGCCUAAGGCGGAUUAGCUAGUUGGUGGGGUAAAGGCCUACCAAGGCGACGAUCUGUAGCGGGUCUGAGAGGAUGAUCCGCCACACUGGGACUGAGACACGGCCCAGACUCCUACGGGAGGCAGCAGUGGGGAAUAUUGGACAAUGGGGGGAACCCUGAUCCAGCCAUGCCGCGUGUGUGAAGAAGGCCUUAUGGUUGUAAAGCACUUUAAGCGAGGAGGAGGCUACUGAGACUAAUACUCUUGGAUAGUGGACGUUACUCGCAGAAUAAGCACCGGCUAACUCUGUGCCAGCCGCCGCCGUAAAAC